rnacentral:rRNA from 1 species
AAUCAACGUUGGCGGCGCGCUUAACACAUGCAAGUCGAACGAGAAAGUGGAGCAAUCCAUGAGUAAAGUGGCGUACGGGUGAGUAACACGUGGGUAUCCAUUCUUUGGUGGGGAAUAACUUUGGGAAACCGAAGCUAAUACCGCAUAAGUCCGAGAGGAGAAAGGUGAAAAUCGCCGAAGAGGGAGCCCGCGGCUGAUUAGCUAGUUGGUGAGGUAACGGCCCACCAAGGCGAAGAUCGGUAGCCGGCCUGAGAGGGCACACGGCCACACUGGCACUGAGACACGGGCCAGACUCCUACGGGAGGCAGCAGUGGGGAAUCUUGCACAAUGGGGGAAACCCUGAUGCAGCGACGCCGCGUGAACGAUGAAGCCCUUCGGGUGUAAAGUUCUUUCGGCAGGAACGAUAAUGACGGUACCUGAAGAAGAAGCUGCGCUAACUACGU